AUUUAACCAAGCCCUUUCAUCCCCUUUCAGAUAAAUGAUCACUAGGAGAACCAAUUAAUUGGACUAGCUGAAUUGAAAAACCAAGUUCAUAUUCUCUAAGAUUCCUAGAAAAAUUCCAAUUCCAUCCAUCUGAAGUAGUAGCUAAUUUCCCUACGGAAGCAUUCUUCACUCUUGAAAUUUUGAAUAAGCAAGGAAAAUAGGAAAUAAAGUCUGCAAUGGACUAUUACCAACCCAUAUAUAUUUGAAGAACAAAACACUAGCACUGUUCUUGAGUUUCAAGUUGGAACUACUAACUCUCUAGAAUUCAAAAUUCCAUCCCAUAAACUAGAAGCGACCGGUUUAUUAUAAGUAUUUGGGAAGAAAGAUUUUAUAUUACCUCCAAACUUUUGAUGUACAAUAUCUCUCCAUACUUCCAAAUCCAUUUCGCAUGUAGAGAUGAAUUCACAAGCUUCAGUUUCUUGAUUCCCACACCUCCUCAUUUCUUUGAAAGCGUCACUUUUGACCAACUAACCCUACUUCUUUUUGUAGCAACAACGGUAGACCCCCAAAGAAAGGUCCUCAUAAUUUUCUCCAAAUAUUUUACCACCGAGAUUGGAAUCUGAAACAUAGUGAGAAAAUGGAUAGGGAGGCUGGAUAACAUACUUUGAAUCAUCAUCAACCUGCCUCCCUUUGUAAGAAAAGAUCUCUUCCAAGAAGCAAGUUUCUGUUGAAAUUUUUGAACGACACUAACCCAAAUAGUCUUGCAUUUAGAUUUACUCCCCAAAGGGAUACCCAGAUAAUUGAUUGGAAAAUUAAUAGCAGUACAACCAAAAAUAGAUGUGCAGCAUGUGAACGACAGAUAAAAAGAAUGAGCUUAUUAGAUGCUACCCCGGAAUGGUCAGACGAAGGGUAAUACUAACAAUGGCUUAGAUGUUGAUAGUUUCCAAGAUAUAGUCUAUCCUGUUUCUACUCUGCAGCUUAAAGUUGUUCCUUAAUAUUCCAGUUUCCUUAGUUAAAGAGAGCGAGAGAAGAAAAUUCUUCUUCAUCAUCAACCAAUCCAGAUAUUUAUUAAUCCUAUCAACACCUAUAUAAACCCUAUGUUCCAAUUGGAUACUAAUAUGAUUGAUGAAAUUGGUUCACUUGGGAAAUGUAAUGUCAAUGAGGAGAGAAGAAUGAUACCACAACCUAAUCAUGGAAAGGAGGAAUUUAUCAUAGCAUCUGAUAGCUCAGAAGUGUUAUCUGGUGGAUUGAUUACUCUGAAUCAACAUGGAGUUCCUGCACUUCAAUUUGAGGUACUAGUAUUUCUAUCCAAGACUGGAUUCAAAAAUGGUUGGGAAGUGGGCGUAGUAGAUAUUUUCUAUGCUCCAUCUUCACUACUGCUUGGUGUCUAUGGAGAGACAGGUGCCUCAGGGUGUUCCAAGAUCAACACUGAUUAAAUCAUUUGCAUACUUCUAGAAUGGCCGUCAAUCUCUACUAUGAUUCCAUGAACUACUUAAAUGCUAGUUCUAGACAAAAUCCUCAACCUACUAGAACUGAUUCUUCCUGAACUACUUAAAUGCUAGUUCUAGACAAAAUCCUCAACCUACUAGAACUGAUUCUUCCCCUCCCUCUAACUUUAAUCUCCCCCAAAAUUGCGUGUUGGUGUAUUGUGAUGUCUCUUAUGAUAAAAAUUCUAAUCAAACUGGUGUUGGUAUUGUUGUUACUGACAUUAUAGGAAACUAUCAAGGGUGCAAAUUAGUUGAUAGGAAGGCCAGAAAUCCAGAAGAAGCAGAGUAUGGCUGUGUUCGAAGCGCUGAAGUGGCUGAAAAACAAGAAUCAUGUCAGCAUUUGUGUCAGGAAUGAUGCAAAGAAUGUGAUGGAAUAUCUUCUCAAUAAUAAAAACCAAACUAGUUGGUUCUGCAGUUCAAUUUCAGAUGACUGCCUCAGUCUGGCAAACUCUUUUUUGAUUUUGUUAAAUUUGAACAUGUUAGUAGAGACUACACUUCUGAUGCAGAUUUAGCUGCUAAACAUUGUUUGAAACAUCUUGUCACAGGAGAAUGGCUGGACAUAAUACCACCAUCCUUCCUGCAGAACUUGUAAUUUUUACUUUUUUAAUACAAUUCAUUUCCUAGCAAAAAAAAAAAAAAAA